rnacentral:misc_RNA from 1 species
AUUGAACGACGUGUUUUAAUGAGGAAAAUGUUCAUCGGUGGUCUAUCAUGGCAGACCAGUCCAGAGAGCCUAAGGGAGUACUUCACCAAGUAUGGGGACAUCACAGAAGUCAUGGUCAUGAAAGAUCCCACCACGCGACGAUCAAGGGGUUUCGGAUUCAUCACGUUCGCAGAUCCCGCGAGUGUAGACAAAGUGCUGGCGCAGGGUAAUCACGAGUUGGACGGCAAGAAAAUCGACCCGAAGGUGGCGUUUCCCAGGAGAACACAUCCAAAGAUGGUGACAAGGACAAAGAAGAUAUUCGUCGGUGGACUAUCGGCACCGACGACGCUGGAGGACGUGAAAAACUACUUCGAGCAGUUCGGCCCGAUCGAGGACGCCAUGCUGAUGUUCGACAAACAGACCAACAGGCACAGAGGUUUUGGCUUCGUCACGUUUCAAAGUGAGGAUGUGGUCGACAAAGUCUGCGAGAUUCAUUUCCACGAAAUCAACAACAAAAUGGUCGAAUGCAAGAAAGCACAGCCGAAGGAAGUGAUGCUCCCGGCGAACCUGGCGAAGACGCGAGCGGCCAACAGAGGCGCAUACGAUUUUAUGUGGUCCCUGGGAGCAUUACCUGAUGGUUUCCCAGCGGCGGCGUACGCGGCAUACGCGGCAAGCCGCGGCUAUUCUGGGUACCCUAGUUUCGGACUGCCCUACCCGACAGGAGUGCCGGCAGUGUACUACCACGGAACCGGAAGCGAGAACGCAAGCCGCGCGUAUACGGAGACACCGAUGCAACACGUCCAACGGACUGCGCUCCGGAAGAAAUGUAUGAGUGGAUCUUACCAACGGACAGCUCACCCCCAACAACAACACGCCCUUGCUCACGCAAGCUCUUUCUGUGAUGAACAACUACCAGGCGGCCGCAGCGCAGGCCGGAUUUCCGCCGGCGUCGCCGCACGCGGCCGGUGGACAUGGUGGGCCACAGGGCCGGUCAUUUCCUGCGGCCAACUCGCCGGGCCCCAUCGACAUGUAUAGUUCAAGCGCCGCAGCCGCAGCAGCAGCCGCAGCCGCGGACUCAGCAGUCGCCAGCUACGUCCAGGCCGCAGCUAGUCCGCAGCCCCCUACGACCGCGUUCCCUGCGAUCGCCGUGUCUCGUGCCCCGCUCAACUACAGUCCCGGUCCUCUAAUACCAGCGGCGUUCACUAAUGGCUACCAUUGAGCCUUGUUAAGACCUAAUAACAGGAUGGACGAGAGGGCAGAGCGCAGCACGGUCGACUGACGGUACAAUGAGCGGUGUAAAUGCCUUGGAAAAAUUCACCAUGAUGAAUGAUCUCUGGACGGAAGAGGACGCGUACCAUCACGAGCAAUAAAACGAAGAAUCGCGAUUUAGGUAGAAGAAUAACGGUUUCCAACAAAAGGAGGCUUUUCGAUUUUGUAAACAUGAUCGAUCGAUUGCAACGAUCGAACGAAUAAAUAAUCGUGAUUCCCCAGCGGAGAAGAAAGGAAGAGAAUCAAAAUUGAAGAUAUUAGAAAAAAAAAAAUCAAGUAAACUAAGAAAUGUAAAAAAAAAAAAAAUAAAAAAAAAAUAAAAAAUAAAUUAAAAAUCAUUGAAAUGAUAAAAAUAUGAAAAAAAAUAAAUAUAUAUAGAAUUUAUAAAUCGCGAUACACGUCCAGAAAGUUUGCGAGAGAAGCAACAUGGUAGAGGGAGCGGAUAAAUAUAAGGAAAACGUAAAGGGCAGAAACUGCGUAAUGGUAGAUGUGGCCGAAACUGCGUAACAAUGCCCGUUCUCCGACAUUAAUAAAGAAUAAUAUAUUAAUAAUAAUGAAUUAAAUUAAUAUUAUUAAUUGCUAAAUAAUUAAGCGACUAAGUCUAGAAUAUAUAAAUAUUAUAUAUAUAAAUAUAUGAAUAUAUAUAAAUAUAUAUAUAUAUAUAUAUAUAAAUAAUUGAUAAAUAUUAGACGAUAACGUAUGGAUCCUUAGUAUUUAAGGCAGACGAUAAAGUCGCGGAAGAAUACCAACUUACAUACGAAAAUAUUAUUAUAAUUACUGGUUAUUAUUGUAUAACAUUAUGGCGAUUCUAAUUGAUUAUAACAAAAUGGAGAAAGAAGGAUGGAAAGCUGUGCGUCGUGUAAGCUCGCGCGCGUAGCCGUGCGCGUUAUACAUAUAUAUAAAUAUAUAAAUAUAAAUAUAAAUAUAAAUACAAAAAUACAAAUAUAAAUAUAAAUAUAAAUACAAAUAUAAAUAUAAAUAUAAAUAAUAAAAAAAUAUAAUUAUUAUAUACAUAUACGCGUAACUCCGUUCGCACCCGGGAAGAGAACCCGUCGUCUCUCUGUUGGGCUUUCGAGAAUUUUUUUUAGACAAGUAGCGGCGGAGUGAAGAGAGAAAGAGAGAGAGAGAGAGAAGCAAAAAAUAAAUAAAUAAAUAAAUAAAAAUAAAAUAAAAUAAAAAAGAUGUACAAGGAAUUUUUUGAGAAGCGUGAGUCGACGACAAGGAGGAGCACCCGACACGAAUGUUUGAAGGGUAGUGUCGGGCCGGAAGGGAGAUUUGGGAGACGAGACGACGAGGGCGUUAGGCAGGCCAAGAGUGGGCUUCGCCCUUUUCCUUUGUUUCUUGCGCGCGCGUGUCCGCCACUUCUCAGCGUGCUCUUUGCCGACUGAAUGCCGGAAUGGCACUUCUCUCUCGCGUCCCGUCGUUGAAGCACUUUUUCCCUUUUCCCGGGUGUGCAACGAGGGAGAAAAGAGGACGAAUAAAGCACGGAAAGAGCAAGGAGAGGGAGGUUGCGUACAUAGACGUAGGCACGCGUGUUACACGGAUGACGUGACGCUGUUUGCAUUGCUUAUCGUGCGAGGGAUGAAAGAAAAAAAAAAAAAAAAGAAAAAAGAAGAGAAAGGGAAGAGAAAACGCGGGGGCCCUCGAGCCAAGAUCGACGGAUUGGAACUCGCGAGGCUUUAUGUAAGUUAUAGGAACGAAGAGAGAGAGAGAGAGAAAAGAAACAAUAGGGAGAAGGACGAAAAAUGGAAAUGAAUACUGCUUUUAAGAUGCGUAUCGAUUGAGGGAAGAAGAGAUGGCCAUCGCGAAGAAUACUAUUCUACAGAGAAGGAAGAAAGCGAGAGAGUACAUUAAACAUACAUACAGGGUCGCGAGAUCUAUGUAAAAGGACGCUAGGCCUCCGAACGUUGCAUCGUUCAAAAUCUGUAUCCUAUCUAGUGGCGAAAACCGAUGACCGGUGAAUUUCACAGGCUAUUGUGUAGCUGUCCAAUCGAUUAGUUACAUUAACCUCGGCCCAUACAUACAUAUUACACGCGCGCGAAUUAUUGUACCAUUGAUUUACCAUAAUGGCAGCUAUGCAUGACCCUAUGGAUGAAAGCCAGCUAUGGAAACACGAGCAAUGUUCGACGGCACGCAUUUCACACAAGCUCACUGUGAACAUACAUAAUAAACCAUCCACACACUUCCACGUUCAAUCUGUACACGCAUUACAUGCACACAUACAUACAUACACACAUAUACACGAUCCGAAACACAAUAUUAAUAUACGCUUUCAUACGCGUCCGCGGCUUUUUAAACAAAUUAUAAAAACACACGCCUAUAUAAAAAAAAAUAAAUAUAUAUUAAUACAAAUACACGCAGCUACGCAACAACGGGAAGAACCAUACGCAACCAUCAAGUUACGCGAGACAAGAUUCUGUUAAGAGGAGAACAAAUAUAUAUUAUACAAACAUACGCGUGUAUUCAGUCAUUAUACCGUGCGUCCGUAUAUGUACAGAGCGUUAGUUAACGGCGAGAUACCGUGAGAUAUCGUCAAAAUGCGUGAGUUAAAGCGGAGAUUAAGAGUAACGCGUGCGAUAACGAUGAUAAUUUCGAGACGAAGCGAGAUUGUGCGUCUUCUAUAUACCCCUGUGUGUGAGAAAGAAUGAGAGAGAACGUGCUGAUACGUGUGUGCGAGCGAGAGAAAGAGAGAGUCAUUAAAUCUUUAAGAUUGAGGAACACGGUCAUCUGAAAAUGCCAUUUGCGAAUUAAAACGAAGAAGAAGAAGAAAGAGAAAAAAGAGAAAAAGAGAAAAUUGUAAAAUUUAAAUGCGAGCUAACGUGGCGUUGAACGUGAGAGAACAAUAAUCGCGUAUGGUAGCCUUAAUCAGGGAAUAACUGAUUGACAUCAAAAGAUUCUUGCGUUUUUUCGCGCUUAAAAAAAAAACAUUUCGCUGAUCAAAUGGACAAAGGGCGCGAACGGGGAUACUCCAUUCGAUUAUUCGUAAUUGGUCUAGGUUAAAAUAUUAUGUAAUAUCAUACGGGAAACAGGGAGGUAUAAUUUUAUUCGUUUCGUUUUUCGGCGCACGUGUAUAUUUUGUAAAACUUAACUUAAACCUUCGAGAAAGGGUUCAGAGGGCUUGAAGGGCAUCGCGACGCUCGGAUCUUCCUGAAGGGGAGAGAUUGAAAAAAAAGGAAAGAAAAAACAAAAAAAUAAACCGUCGACGUGCAUAAACUCAUUCCGCGGAUUGUAUAAUUCGAGUUUUUUUGUUGAUAUAUUGCUGAUAAAAACUGUUUUCGUACGAUACUAUUAUUGCUAUUAUUAAAUUCGCCAAGCGAGAGUCAACGAGCGAUUAUUAUAAUUAUAAUUAUUAUGAAACGAUGGAUAUACGUGCGACAAUUCUAGGUACGGUUAUUAUUGUAUUCAACAACAGGGUAAAAACAAAAAGAAAAAAAAAAAAAGAAAAGAAGAAAGAAUUGAAAAAUAAGAAUGAUUUUAAAUUAUGGGACGCGUGUCACGUCGAACGGCGGCCAUUUUGUUUUCCUGUGCGCGGGUAUGCGUGCGCACGAUGAGAAAAAAAUUCAAACAAAGGAAAGAAAAAA